rnacentral:rRNA from 1 species
AAAAGAAACCAACAGGGAUUCCCUUAGUAAGUGCGACCGAAACGGGAGGAGCCCAGCGCAUAACCUCGCAGUCAAGUAACUUGGCGUGCGCGAGGGGUGUUGCGUUCCGGAGGGUCUGGUAUUACUACUACUUAGUUCUGCAAUGCCCAAGUCAUGCUUGAAAGCAGCCGUCACCCGUGGAGGGUGAGAGGCCCGUAUGGCGGAGCGGGACGGUAGUAAAGGACCUCUCCGUAGAGUCGGGUUGCUUGUGAAUGCAGCCCAAAGCAGGUGGUAAACUCCAUCUAAGGCUAAAUAUGACCACGAGU